GAUACUUCAGGCUGGAUCAAAUACUUUGGCACAGGAACCAAGCUAGUUGUUUCUGCAACAACUACUACUAGAUUUGUACAGUAUUUUGUAAAGGAUUUGCUCACUGUGAUACUUCUAGUGGCUACUACAUCAAAGUAUUUGGCUCUGGUACCAAGCUCAUUGUAACAGACAUACAAGCAAAACUUGAUUCCACCAAGAUUCAGGCCCUGCCUCCUUCUACUGAACAAGAUGGGAAAGUAUCAUACAUGUGCCUCA